rnacentral:lncRNA from 1 species
GUAAAGGGAGGUAAGUUUCGCCACCAGGAUUCGAGUAGUAUUGGCCACGGGGAUUCAAGAUUUAACAUAGUUUUCCCCGGCCCCAUGAGAUUAGUCUUUGGGCCUAGAUAGCCUUUGGGAUCACUCCUGAGUUAUAAUAAAUAAAAAAAAUCAUCCUUGUUUUGUUUUAGAGUGAGAUAGAAGAAAAUAAAGAUUCGGCGGCCGAAAAGCAAAUGAGAUUUGUGUUCACGAAAUUUCAAAAAAUAACAUGUAAUAUUUAUACUUAACAUGUUAUAUAUCCACAAAAACAUGGUAUUUGUAAAAAUAGCAUUGUUAUUUGUGAAAAUUAAACUAAAUAGCAUGUUAUAUAAAAACAUAGCAUGUUAUUUGAGAAAGUAUCGUGUUAUAUAAAAACAUAGCGUGUUAUUUGAGAAAGUAUCGUAUAAAAAAGAAAAAUAUUCUAACAUCAUGUGUAAUUCAAAGAAGUAGCAUGUUACAAAAGAAAAUGACAAAUAUUCUAAUACGACUGAACAUGUG